GAUGAACGCUGGCGGCGUGCCUAAUACAUGCAAGUCGAGCGAACAGACGAGGAGCUUGCUCCUCUGACGUUAGCGGCGGACGGGUGAGUAACACGUGGAUAACCUACCUAUAAGACUGGGAUAACUUCGGGAAACCGGAGCUAAUACCGGAUAAUAUAUUGAACCGCAUGGUUCAAUAGUGAAAGACGGUUUUGCUGUCACUUAUAGAUGGAUCCGCGCCGCAUUAGCUAGUUGGUAAGGUAACGGCUUACCAAGGCAACGAUGCGUAGCCGACCUGAGAGGGUGAUCGGCCACACGGGAACGGAGACACGGUCAAGACUCCUACGGGAGGCAGCAGUAGGGAAUCUUCCGCAAUGGGCGAAAGCCUGACGGAGCAACGCCGCGUGAGUGAUGAAGGUCUUCGGAUCGUAAAACUCUGUUAUUAGGGAAGAACAAAUGUGUAAGUAACUAUGCACGUCUUGACGGUACCUAAUCAGAAAGCCACGGCUAACUACGUG
rnacentral:rRNA from 1 species